GGGUGAGUAACACGUGGGAAACCUACCUCUUAGCAGGGGAUAACAUUUGGAAACAGAUGCUAAUACCGUAUAACAAUAGCAACCGCAUGGUUGCUACUUAAAAGAUGGUUCUGCUAUCACUAAGAGAUGGUCCCGCGGUGCAUUAGUUAGUUGGUGAGGUAAUGGCUCACCAAGACGAUGAUGCAUAGCCGAGUUGAGAGACUGAUCGGCCACAAUGGGACUGAGACACGGCCCAUACUCCUACGGGAGGCAGCAGUAGGGAAUCUUCCACAAUGGGCGAAAGCCUGAUGGAGCAACGCCGCGUGUGUGAUGAAGGGUUUCGGCUCGUAAAACACUGUUGUAAGAGAAGAAUGACAUUGAGAGUAACUGUUCAAUGUGUGACGGUAUCUUACCAGAAAGGAACGGCUAAAUACGUGCCAGCAGCCGCGGUAAUACGUAUGUUCCAAGCGUUAUCCGGAUUUAUUGGGCGUAAAGCGAGCGCAGACGGUUAUUUAAGUCUGAAGUGAAAGCCCUCAGCUCAACUGAGGAAUUGCUUUGGAAACUGGAUGACUUGAGUGCAGUAGAGGAAAGUGGAACUCCAUGUGUAGCGGUGAAAUGCGUAGAUAUAUGGAAGAACACCAGUGGCGAAGGCGGCUUUCUGGACUGUAACUGACGUUGAGGCUCGAAAGUGUGGGUAGCAAACAGGAUUAGAUACCCUGGUAGUCCACACCGUAAACGAUGAGUGCUAGGUGUUUGAAGGGUUUCCGCCCUUAAGUGCCGCAGCUAACGCAUUAAGCACUCCGCCUGGGGGAGUACGACCGCAAGGUUGAAACUCAAAGGAAUUGACGGGGACCCGCACAAGCGGUGGAGCAUGUGGUUUAAUUCGAAGCAACGCGAAGAACCUUACCAGGUCUUGACAUCCCUUGACACCUCCAGAAGAUGGAGCGUUCCCUUCGGGGACAAGGUGACAGGUGGGUGCAUGGUUGUCGUCAGCUCGUGUCCUGAAAAGUUGGGGUUAAAUCCCCCAACAAGCGCAACCCUUAUUACUAAUUGCCACCAUUUAUUUGGGGACUCUAUUGGAACUGCCGGUGAAAAACCGAGGAGAGGGGGGGGGAGGAAAUCAAAUAAUAAUGGCCCCUUAUAACUGGGGGUACACCGUGCUUCAAUGGGG
rnacentral:rRNA from 1 species